ACACGUAGGUAACUUGCCCAUGUGCCCGGGAUAACUUCUGGAAACGGAUGCUAAAACCGGAUAGGUAGCAGGCAAGCAUUUGACUGCUAUUAAAGUGGCUAAGGCCAUGAACAUGGAUGGACCUGCGGUGCAUUAGCUAGUUGGUGAGGUAACGGCCCACCAAGGCGACGAUGCAUAGCCGGCCUGAGAGGGCGGACGGCCACAUUGGGACUGAGACACGGCCCAAACUCCUACGGGAGGCAGCAUG
rnacentral:rRNA from 1 species